rnacentral:rRNA from 1 species
GGUUAAGCGACUAAGCGUACACGGUGGAUGCCCUGGCAGUCAGAGGCGAUGAAGGACGUGCUAAUCUGCGAUAAGCGUCGGUAAGGUGAUAUGAACCGUUAUAACCGGCGAUUUCCGAAUGGGGAAACCCAGUGUGAUUCGUCACACUAUCAUUAACUGAAUCCAUAGGUUAAUGAGGCGAACCGGGGGAACUGAAACAUCUAAGUACCCCGAGGAAAAGAAAUCAACCGAGAUUCCCCCAGUAGCGGCGAGCGAACGGGGAGCAGCCCAGAGCCUGAAUCAGUGUGUGUGUUAGUGGAAGCGUCUGGAAAGGCGCGCGAUACAGGGUGACAGCCCCGUACACAAAAAUGCACAUGCUGUGAGCUCGAUGAGUAGGGCGGGACACGUGGUAUCCUGUCUGAAUAUGGGGGGACCAUCCUCCAAGGCUAAAUACUCCUGACUGACCGAUAGUGAACCAGUACCGUGAGGGAAAGGCGAAAAGAACCCCGGCGAGGGGAGUGAAAAAGAACCUGAAACCGUGUACGUACAAGCAGUGGGAGCACAGAGCAAUCUGUGUGACUGCGUACCUUUUGUAUAAUGGGUCAGCGACUUAUAUUCUGUAGCAAGGUUAACCGAAUAGGGGAGCCGAAGGGAAACCGAGUCUUAACUGGGCGUUAAGUUGCAGGGUAUAGACCCGAAACCCGGUGAUCUAGCCAUGGGCAGGUUGAAGGUUGGGUAACACUAACUGGAGGACCGAACCGACUAAUGUUGAAAAAUUAGCGGAUGACUUGUGGCUGGGGGUGAAAGGCCAAUCAAACCGGGAGAUAGCUGGUUCUCCCCGAAAGCUAUUUAGGUAGCGCCUCGUGAAUUCAUCUCCGGGGGUAGAGCACUGUUUCGGCAAGGGGGUCAUCCCGACUUACCAACCCGAUGCAAACUGCGAAUACCGGAGAAUGUUAUCACGGGAGACACACGGCGGGUGCUAACGUCCGUCGUGAAGAGGGAAACAACCCAGACCGCCAGCUAAGGUCCCAAAGUCAUGGUUAAGUGGGAAACGAUGUGGGAAGGCCCAGACAGCCAGGAUGUUGGCUUAGAAGCAGCCAUCAUUUAAAGAAAGCGUAAUAGCUCACUGGUCGAGUCGGCCUGCGCGGAAGAUGUAACGGGGCUAAACCAUGCACCGAAGCUGCGGCAGCGACGCUGAUGCGUUGUUGGGUAGGGGAGCGUUCUGUAAGCCUGCGAAGGUGUGCUGUGAGGCAUGCUGGAGGUAUCAGAAGUGCGAAUGCUGACAUAAGUAACGAUAAAGCGGGUGAAAAGCCCGCUCGCCGGAAGACCAAGGGUUCCUGUCCAACGUUAAUCGGGGCAGGGUGAGUCGACCCCUAAGGCGAGGCCGAAAGGCGUAGUCGAUGGGAAACAGGUUAAUAUUCCUGUACUUGGUGUUACUGCGAAGGGGGGACGGAGAAGGCUAUGUUGGCCGGGCGACGGUUGUCCCGGUUUAAGCGUGUAGGCUGGUUUUCCAGGCAAAUCCGGAAAAUCAAGGCUGAGGCGUGAUGACGAGGCACUACGGUGCUGAAGCAACAAAUGCCCUGCUUCCAGGAAAAGCCUCUAAGCAUCAGGUAACAUCAAAUCGUACCCCAAACCGACACAGGUGGUCAGGUAGAGAAUACCAAGGCGCUUGAGAGAACUCGGGUGAAGGAACUAGGCAAAAUGGUGCCGUAACUUCGGGAGAAGGCACGCUGAUAUGUAGGUGAAGUCCCUCGCGGAUGGAGCUGAAAUCAGUCGAAGAUACCAGCUGGCUGCAACUGUUUAUUAAAAACACAGCACUGUGCAAACACGAAAGUGGACGUAUACGGUGUGACGCCUGCCCGGUGCCGGAAGGUUAAUUGAUGGGGUUAGCGCAAGCGAAGCUCUUGAUCGAAGCCCCGGUAAACGGCGGCCGUAACUAUAACGGUCCUAAGGUAGCGAAAUUCCUUGUCGGGUAAGUUCCGACCUGCACGAAUGGCGUAAUGAUGGCCAGGCUGUCUCCACCCGAGACUCAGUGAAAUUGAACUCGCUGUGAAGAUGCAGUGUACCCGCGGCAAGACGGAAAGACCCCGUGAACCUUUACUAUAGCUUGACACUGAACAUUGAGC